UGGGGAAUAUUGCACAAUGGGCGAAAGCCUGAUGCAGCGACGCCGCGUGAGGGAUGACGGCCUUCGGGUUGUAAACCUCUUUCAGUAGGGACGAAGCGCAAGUGACGGUACCUGCAGAAGAAGCACCGGCUAACUACGUGCCAGCAGCCGCGGUAAUACGUAGGGUGCGAGCGUUGUCCGGAAUUACUGGGCGUGAAGAGCUCGGAGGCGGUUUGUCACGUCGUCUGUGAAAUCCUAGGGCUUAACCCUGGACGUGAAGGCGAUACGGGCUGACAUGAGUACUACAGGGGAGACUGGAAUUUCUGGUGUAGCGGUGGGAUGCACAGAUAUCAGGAAGGACACCGAUGGCGAAGGCAGGUCUCUGGGUAGUAACUGACGCUGAGUAGCGAAAGCAUGGGUAGCGAACAAG
rnacentral:rRNA from 1 species